CAACAUAUGAAUUUGGGGCGGUGGGGAGGGCCACCAACAUAGCACUGUCCUUGAGGGGUCAGUGGUGGCAGUGUCACUCCUGCUGCCCAUGAGGCCAGAUGCCUGCUGGGGAGUCUGGGCAUGAACACGAGGUGGGGAAAGGGAGUUCCAUCCCAACCCCUUCCCUGAGGAUAAGCUUGCCUGGACAGAGAGCCUCCCAGUUUACAAGUGUAAGGUAUAUGGAUGUGCUUUGGUCAAGAACAGGCCGAGGUGGAUAUCCAGGCCUGCAUGACUCAGUGAGUUUAGAGUGCAGGCAUAUAACUCCACUUGUUAUCACAGCCAUGUAGCCAUGUGGCCCGAUGCCACUAUUGUCUGUAAAAGCUAUAAUUGCCCUGCUGACUCUGUACAGGUGCACUUGCACCCAGAGAAAGAGAGAGAGAGCCAGAGCUGUCGGUCUUUGCAGAUGGACAGGGGGAGCCAGGACACAGCUCAGCCUACUCAUGCCCAGAGAGAGAAAGAGUUCAGCUGCUGACCCUGAAGGCAAGGGAGAGCUGGCCACGCAGGUGUGUGUGGGAGCUGGCUGCUGAGAGGAGCCGCCGAGCUGGAGCAGGCAGCCAAAAUAAAGGUGAACAGUGUAAACGAGCUAGUGUAAGCUGCUGAUGAGAGAGCUGCUGAAUAAAAUUACAUUUCACCUGCCUACAGCACCCCGAGUGUUCUUUCAGCUAUCUGCUCAUCCAUCCCCUCUUUUCGGACCUCAGCUGGGACUGGACCCCAACCCUGAGCAUAACAACAAGUGAUACUUUUGUUAGGUCCAUUUUCACUUCAUCAGAAAUGUCCUGAGCUCUCCCUGGGCACUGUCCUGUGGCUGGUAAGAGGCAGAGGGCAGGAACCGUGUCAGUCUUGUUCCUUGUUGUAACCCAG
rnacentral:lncRNA from 1 species